rnacentral:RNase_P_RNA from 1 species
CGGGUUGGAUGCGGUGGUCGCGGGGAGGCGAGAGCCUCUUCGAGGAAAGUCCGAGCUCCAGAGGGUGGACUGCCAGGUAACGCCUGGGCGCCGAGAGGCGACGGAAAGGGCCACAGAAAACAGACCGCCCCGCGCAAGCGGGGUAAGGGUGAAACGGUGGGGUAAGAGCCCACCGCGCCCCUGGUAACAGCGGGCGGCACGGCAACCCCCAGUCGGAGCAAGGCCAAAUAGGCGGCGAGGUGUGACCCACACCGACCACACCGGCAACGGUGAGCCGCGGGUAGGCUGCUCGAGGUGGCCGGCGACGGCCAUCCCAGACAGAUGACCAUCUUCCGCGGCAACGCGGGAAACAGAACUCGGCUUACGGUCCGACCCGUGCC